rnacentral:rRNA from 1 species
CAGCGCCGCGGGAAUACCGAGGGUGCGAGCGUUAAUCGGAUUUACUGGGCGUAAAGCGUGCGUAGGCGGCUUCUUAAGUCGGAUGUGAAAUCCCUGAGCUUAACUUAGGAAUUGCAUUCGAUACUGGGAAGCUAGAGUAUGGGAGAGGAUGGUAGAAUUCCAGGUGUAGCGGUGAAAUGCGUAGAGAUCUGGAGGAAUACCGAUGGCGAAGGCAGCCAUCUGGCCUAAUACUGACGCUGAGGUACGAAAGCAUGGGGAGCAAACAGGAUUAGAUACCCCCGUAGUCCCUGUCUCUUAUACA